CGGGGCCAGGGGACCGGGGGCGGGGCCUGGAGGGGAGCCAGUGCUCAGCCCUUGAAAAGGCGGCGCCAUCCUAAGGAGGGACACAGGUGAGCUCUGAGAAGAGAGGCGGGACUUGGGGAGCCACAGGUGUGAAGACCUGGGGCGGAGCCUGAGGCUGGGGUCGAGGCCACACGGGUCAGGAGAGAAGGGCGGAAGUUGCGGUUUGAUCCACCGCCCAAUUCCUUUCCUGGGAUCUUCAGAGUUAUAGAAAUUUGAGGUCAAGACAGACCUG
rnacentral:lncRNA from 1 species